AAGUCGUAACAAGGUUUCCGUAGGUGAACCUGCGGAAGGAUCAUUAACAAACUAGCCGUUCGAGCAGGGCAACCUGCUACGAUGUAAGACUACUAGUAACCCUUGAACAAACAUACCUUUGUUGCUUUGGCGGGCCGCCUCACGGCCAGCGGCCUCGGCUGCUGCGCGCCCGCCAGAGGACCCCAACUCUUGAACUUUUAGUGAUGUCUGAGUACUAUAUAAUAGUUAAAACUUUCAACAACGGAUCUCUUGGUUCUG
rnacentral:misc_RNA from 1 species